AGAUGAGUACUCUCAUCCGCCGUUUUUGCUCCUACAGAGAAGACACCAGUAUGGUUUUGUAUAAUAGAUUAAACUACAAAAUACUAUUCAAUGAUUGAUUUAUAAACAUAGAUAACCUCUCUAUUUGGAACGUAAUGAUUUGAUGAAAAGUAUGACAGUAAAAAAGGAAGACAAAAACAAAAGAUCAGUGCUGCUGAAAGCAAAAUGAAGUGUGAAAGUGGAAUAAAAUCUGUUGACGAAGAGACCAUUAUGUCUUUGCUUGCUGAAAAUCUAUCUAUAUGAAAAUCUAUGAGGGCUAUCUAUAAAUUGUAUAUAUUUAAAAAAAAAAAGUAAUGAACUGCACAUAGCAUAAGUGAGUAGUUAGAAUUGUACAUUUGAAAUAAAAUAAAUUUGUAUCAUUUAUAUGAA